GACGAACGCUGGCGGCGUGCCUAAUACAUGCAAGUCGAACGCACAGUUUAUACCGUAGCUUGCUACACCAUAGACUGUGAGUUGCGAACGGGUGAGUAACGCGUAGGUAACCUGCCUGGUAGCGGGGGAUAACUAUUGGAAACGAUAGCUAAUACCGCAUAAUAUUAAUUAUUGCAUGAUAAUUAAUUGAAAGGUGCAAUUGCACCACUACCAGAUGGACCUGCGUUGUAUUAGCUAGUAGGUGAGGUAACGGCUCACCUAGGCGACGAUACAUAGCCGACCUGAGAGGGUGAUCGGCCACACUGGGACUGAGACACGGCCCAGACUCCUACGGGAGGCAGCAGUAGGGAAUCUUCGGCAAUGGACGAAAGUCUGACCGAGCAACGCCGCGUGAGUGAAGAAGGUUUUCGGAUCGUAAAGCUCUGUUGUAAGAGAAGAACGGGUGUGAGAGUGGAAAGUUCACACUGGGACGGAAUCUUACCAGAAAGGGAGGGCUAACUACGU
rnacentral:rRNA from 1 species